rnacentral:rRNA from 1 species
GACGAACGUUGGCGGCGUGCUUAAUACAUGCAAGUCAACUGAAGCAGUGGUAGCAAUAUCGCUGUGGAGGUGGCGCACGGGUGAGUAACACGUAGGUAAUCUGCCUUCAGGUCUGGCAUAACUCCGGGAAACCGGGGCUAAUAGCAGAUGAUGCAGCGGCUCGACAUCGAGACAGUUGUUAAAGCUAUGGCGCCUGAAGAUGAGCCUGCGUCUGAUUAGCUAGUUGGCGGGGUAACGGCCCACCAAGGCAACGAUCAGUAGCUGGUCUGAGAGGAUGAUCAGCCACACUGGAACUGAGACACGGUCCAGACUCCUACGCGAGGCAGCAGUAAGGAAUAUUGCUCAAUGGGAGAAAUCCUGAAGCAGCAACGCCGCGUGAGGGACGAAGGGCUUUUGCUUGUAAACCUCUGUAGUGAGAGAAAAAAAUCCCAAUCUUUGGGACAUGAUGGUAUCUCAAAAGUAAGCCCCGGCUAACUACGUG